AGUGAACGCUGGCGGUAGGCCUAACACAUGCAAGUCGAACGGCAGCACAGUAAGAGCUUGCUCUUACGGGUGGCGAGUGGCGGACGGGUGAGGAAUACAUCGGAAUCUACUUUUUCGUGGGGGAUAACGUAGGGAAACUUACGCUAAUACCGCAUACGACCUACGGGUGAAAGCAGGGGAUCUUCGGACCUUGCGCGAUUGAAUGAGCCGAUGUCGGAUUAGCUAGUUGGCGGGGUAACGGCCCACCAAGGCGACGAUCCGUAGCUGGUCUGAGAGGGUGAUCAGCCACACUGGAACUGAGACACGGUCCAGACUCCUACGGGAGGCAGCAGUGGGGAAUAUUGGACAAUGGGCGAAAGCCUGAUCCAGCAAUACCGCGUGGGUGAAGAAGGCCUUCGGGUUGUAAAGCCCUUUUGUUGGGAAAGAAAAGCAGCAGGUUAAUACCCCGCUGUUCUGACGGUACCCAAAGAAUAAGCACCGGCUAACUUCGUG
rnacentral:rRNA from 1 species